rfam:Heligmosomoides polygyrus genome assembly, scaffold: HPBE_scaffold0000074
GCGCCGGUGGUGUUAGGCGAACAUCGCUGCCCGGAAAGCAGAAGUUGCGGGUUCGAGUCCCGCCUGGCGCA